rnacentral:rRNA from 1 species
CGAGGGGCAGCAUGGUCUUAGCUUGCUAAGGCCGAUGGCGACCGGCGCACGGGUGAGUAACACGUAUCCAACCUGCCGUCUACUCUUGGACAGCCUUCUGAAAGGAAGAUUAAUACAAGAUGGCAUCAUGAGUUCGCAUGUUCACAUGAUUAAAGGUAUUCCGGUAGACGAUGGGGAUGCGUUCCAUUAGAUAGUAGGCGGGGUAACGGCCCACCUAGUCUUCGAUGGAUAGGGGUUCUGAGAGGAAGGUCCCCCACAUUGGAACUGAGACACGGUCCAAACUCCUACGGGAGGCAGCAGUGAGGAAUAUUGGUCAAUGGGCGAAAGCCUGAACCAGCCAAGUAGCGUGAAGGAUGACUGCCCUAUGGGUUGUAAACUUCUUUUAUAAAGGAAUAAAGUCGGGUAUGUAUACCCGUUUGCAUGUACUUUAUGAAUAAGGAUCGGCUAACUCCGUGCCAGCAGCCGCGGUAAUACGGAGGAUCCGAGCGUUAUCCGGAUUUAUUGGGUUUAAAGGGAGCGUAGAUGGAUGUUUAAGUCAGUUGUGAAAGUUUGCGGCUCAACCGUAAAAUUGCAGUUGAUACUGGAUAUCUUGAGUGCAGUUGAGGCAGGCGGAAUUCGUGGUGUAGCGGUGAAAUGCUUAGAUAUCACGAAGAACUCCGAUUGCGAAGGCAGCCUGCUAAGCUGCAACUGACAUUGAGGCUCGAAAGUGUGGGUAUCAAACAGGAUUAGAUACCCUGGUAGUCCACACGGUAAACGAUGAAUACUCGCUGUUUGCGAUAUACUGCAAGCGGCCAAGCGAAAGCGUUAAGUAUUCCACCUGGGGAGUACGCCGGCAACGGUGAAACUCAAAGGAAUUGACGGGGGCCCGCACAAGCGGAGGAACAUGUGGUUUAAUUCGAUGAUACGCGAGGAACCUUACCCGGGCUUAAAUUGCAGAUGAAUUACGGUGAAAGCCGUAAGCCGCAAGGCAUCUGUGAAGGUGCUGCAUGG